rnacentral:misc_RNA from 1 species
AACGCACAUUGCGCCCGCUAGUACUCUAGCGGGCAUGCCUGUUCGAGCGUCAUUUCGACCAUCAAGCCUUAAUUGCUUGUGUUGGAGCACUAUAAGCGAAAGCUGUAGGCUCUGAAAUAUAGCGGCGGACCUGUUGCGAUCCCGAACGUAGUAAAUAUCAACUCGUUUAGGGUAUCCAAUUGGUAACUUCUAGCCGUUAAACCCCCCAAUUUUACAUGGUUGACCUCGGAUCAGGUAGGAAUACCCGCUGAACUUAA